UCUCAGGCCUGGUUGAUACAGGGUCCUAUAUGAUAUGCAGACAUCACCUGAAAGCAGACAGCUAUAGCACUACAAUCACUUUCUGGGACAGCCAUGAAGAACAAUGGUGAAGGAGGAUUCCCCCAGUGGGCAGCAUUUCCUAUGAGCAGUAUCAGAAGCAGAAGAGCUGGCUGGGGAGACCAAGGCUUUGGAAAAGACAAAACCAAAAGCUAAACAGAAACUGAAUUUCUGAAAGAACAUACAGAACACUGCUCACUGCUCAAGAUUAACUUUAGACCUACUUUCCCUUGGAAUUAAUGCUGAUCAUGUGACAACAUUCUGUUCAAUGAGAUGCCAAUAGCAGGGGCCGCUUUCUGCUCUGUUGUCACAAAUGGAUUCCCAUGAGGCUAACACUUUUCAUGCAUCUUGCCAACAGAAAUUGCUACUCCUUGAAUGUCUGCCUCAGAAUUUUUUCCAAGUUAUUGCCAGAGUGAAGAUAAUAAAUUGGAAGAAAAAUUUUAAAAUAAAACUUGUAUUUAUGGAAGACCCAGGC